rnacentral:lncRNA from 1 species
UAUACCCCGAUGCCUUUUCCCUAUUCAGGUAUGUUUAUAUAUCUACAUCUUAGGAUUUCUCAAUUUCCAUACAUCUACUUGAGUUGAAUUUUUGAAUUUAUAUUCUAACAAUUUGAUAGAUAUUGUAUUGUAAUAGUUAAUGAGUGGAACCUUGAAGAUUAUAAUGUAAUGUUGGGAGGAGCCACAAUUCGUCCAGAAGACAUUUUGGGAUAAAAAUUCUUUCAAAAGUUUUUGAAAAAGCAUACAGGUUUGUUUUCUUGUCUUGUUGCUUUGAAUUUUUUCCUCUUGUUAUAUGCUAAAAAUUCUUGUAAAAGAAUUAUCUACACAUAAUUUUUCUCUCUUUGAACGUUCUUCUGCUAUUUUUACAAGUCAAACUUGCAUCUUAGUAUUAGUGUUUCUUUUGGUUCACUCAUUCUUUUGUGCUAAUUAUUGUUUCUUUUGAACUUACAGCGUACAUUUUAAUCUAUUGAAUGCAAGAAGAUCAAGAAUUCAGAGUGAAAUUACUUCAUCCUUGGCUAUAGAUGAUCAUCUGAUUGCAACAUCUUUAGUCCCCAGAUCAAAUACUUAGAACUUAGUUUUGUUUUGAUGUGGAACCCUUCAGAAUUUUAUAGAUUAUAGUUAAAUGAUCGACUAUACUUUAGAUUGAAAAUUGUAUAUUUUAGAAUUAAUUUUUGAAAGUAUUUAGAUGACAAUUUGUAUAAUAAAGU